UACGGAGGGGGCUAGCGUUGUUCGAUAUCUGGGCGUAAAGCGCGCGCAGGCGGUCCAUUCAGUCGCUGGUGAAAGCCCCACGCUCAACGUGGGAAGGUCCGGCGAGACGGGUGGACUGGAGGCAGGGAGAGGUCGGUGGAAUUGGGGGUGUAGCGGUGGAAUGCGUAGAGAUCCCCAAGAACACCAGUUGCGAAGGCGGCUGACUGGACACAUAUUGACGCUGAGGCUCGAAAGCAUGGGGAGCAAACAGG
rnacentral:rRNA from 1 species